rnacentral:lncRNA from 1 species
GCAUGGAAGGGCAGUGGUGCCUGAGUCCAGCCCAUCAUCUUCGUUUCAGACAGAGCAAACAGCAACAAGGAGCUGGGUGUGGACCAGGAGUCAGAGGAGGGCAAAGGCAAAACAAGCCCUGAUAAGCAAAAGCAGUCCCCACAGGUGUCUGGGCAUGUGGCAUGGGUGGGGUGGCCAGCACGCUACAGGGGCUUCCUAUGCGCUUGGGAUACACAGGGGCUGGAGGCUUCCCAGGAGUUUGUCUUGAACAUCUGGAGGUUUGAAUUUGUCCCACUGACCUUUUCUUUCGCAAGUUCCCCUGAAAUUUGGGCUGCUGCUUGGGUGAAUAUCCCAGGAUGGGGGUUCCAUUCUAGGAGUGGACUGGCAGGCUGAGCCUCCCAUGGAGCUGAUCCAGCCAGGAUACAGAGAAGGGGAGGCAAAGACUGAGACAGAACCAGCUUGAGAGCGGAGGCGCAACUCUUGUCUCCUGGUGGCCUUGAGCAUUUCACAAUAGGGGGAUAAAGGAUAGGAGCAGAAAAGUGGGGCUGACAUCAGAAAUGGGGUCCUCUAGAGCUCACGGGAGGGUGUUAGAUUGGAGUGGGAGCUUAGUAGAGGUGAGCCUUAGAGGCAGAAGUCUCCAGACCAAUCCAGGGCCCCUCUUCUAUCCGGGGGAACCUCUUCUAUCCAGGGCCCCUCUUCUGUCUGGGAGCCCCUCUUCUAUCCGGGGCCUCAUGCAGUGGGGCCUAGGGGAGGUUCUCUGAGGACUUGGCCUUGAUGACAGGGUGGCUGGAGGAAUCAGAACGGUCAGACCUUCUUUGACCUGCGGGCACCUUUAGUUGGAAUGGUCAGGCCUGGGAUGGUGGAGGGGGCUCUUGCAGGUGGGGACUGGGGUGGCGGGGAGGAGGCUGUAUGGCCGCCAUAUCUCCUUUGGCUGGGGGCGUCAGGGCUGGAGAGGUGUGAAGAGUCCCUGAGGCCUCGAUGCAUCUCACUCCAGCUCACCAGGUCUGCAUUUGCCCCUGUCCCCAGCUCCUGCUGCCACCUCCGGCCGUUUUAGGCACUUGGCUCCCUUGGCCCAGAGGAGCUUGCCUCACAGGCCUGUGCACCUCUG